GACGAACGCUGGCGGCGUGCUUAACACAUGCAAGUCGAACGGAAAGGCCCUGCUUUUGUGGGGUGCUCGAGUGGCGAACGGGUGAGUAACACGUGAGUAACCUGCCCUUGACUUUGGGAUAACUUCAGGAAACUGGGGCUAAUACCGGAUAGGAGCUCCUGCCGCAUGGUGGGGGUUGGAAAGUUUCGGCGGUUGGGGAUGGACUCGCGGCUUAUCAGCUUGUUGGUGGGGUAGUGGCUUACCAAGGCUUUGACGGGUAGCCGGCCUGCGAGGGUGACCGGCCACAUUGGGACUGAGAUACGGCCCAGACUCCUACGGGAGGCAGCAGUGGGGAAUAUUACACAGUGGGCGGAAGCCUGAUGCAGCAACGCCGCGUGCGGGAUGACAGCAAUCGGGUUGUGAACCGCUUUCGCCUGUGACGAAGCGUGAGUGACGGUAAUGGGUAAAGAAGCACCGGCUAACUACGUG
rnacentral:rRNA from 1 species